rnacentral:lncRNA from 1 species
AGUUGAAAUGCCAUGCAUGAAUUAAUAUAUGAUGCAUAUGUAUGAAUUGGUGCGGUGGACGCACAUGUAAGAAUUGAUUUAUGAUGCAUAUGUAUGAAUUGGUGCGGUGGACGCACAGGUAAGAAUUGAUUUAUGAUGCAUAUGUAUGAAUUGGUGCGGUGGACGCACAGGUAAGAAUUGAUUUAUGAUGCAUAUGUAUGAAAUGGUGCGGUGGACGCACAGAUGAGUAUUUAAUUACUGUUAUGAUGAUGAUGAUAUAUAUUGAGCUCAAAUCCUGCACCAUGGUUUAGUGCUUAUAGUAUUCACCGCAUCGCACGCUCGCCUUGGAUCCAAGUAGAUGCUAGUCGUACAGUCCACGCGGAGUGGGUACGACAGACCAGUCGCGAGAGUGUUAGUGAGAUUCCGACUGGUGGGUGACCUUAGAUUAUGUGCACAGAUGAUUUAUGAGAAGCACUAGAGCGUAACUUGUGUGCAGAAGGCCGGACGGGUCACAGAGGUGACUCCGGUAGAGUGAUAAUGAUAGAUUUUGAGCUCUAGGUUCAACCGUAUAGGGCUAUUAGAGGGCCUACGGUUGAUUACUUUCUUGCACCUGAUAUGAUUAUGUUGAUGCAUUCAUACCUUAUUACUGUUGAGAUGAUGUGGCAUGGCAUAAUUAAUAUGAGAAAAUGUUGAGAUGACAUGGCAUGGCAUGAUUGAUAAAGAGAUAAUGUUGAGAUAGUAAAAAUGAAGUUUUGAGAAUAUAUAUGUAUAUUUAUAUUUUACAUUUCUGGGAAAGUAUACAGGUUUUACGGAGAGGGGUUACAACGUUUUGAGAAAUGUUUGGAUUUGGAAAAGAAUUGUUUUACUGACCCACUCAAUUUUGGUUUUGCGCCCCUCCAGGUUCAGGAAUCACAAAGGUGUGGUGACUACGAGGAAUUCGACGGUGUUCUGACAGAUUGGACAAAAUUAGGACUCACCUUCGGAUGUAUCAAUUUAAAUUGUAUCUUAAAGCUUCCGUACUGUGCAAACGGUUACGUCACUCUCACGUGACGGCCAGCAUGCCCUCCUUCGGGACGGGGUGUGUCAGUUGGUAUCAGAGCAUGGUUGCAAUCUUGGACAUCUUGAGAAGUUUCUAGUGAAUUCUGUCAGAACUACACCGCCUCGUAGCAAACCACGUAGUUAGAGGAACUUAGUCUCCCUAAUUUAGCGGGUUAGGGGAAACUAUUCUUAUGGUGAUUCAGUAUAUUAGAAAAAUGGACAUUUUAAGACGGGUUAUGAGUUGAAUUUGAAUCACUUAAGAGAAAUGAUGAACCUGAGGGAACAAAGUGACGGAUUAACCAAUUGGAAAAGAUGUUUCGGAAUAUGCAAGUCAAAGGAAUCUUCCUUCUGACAAGGGGUCGAGACGACUACCUGGUUUUGGUUAUGAAUUUGUAUCCUGGUGGAAACAGGAGUAUGAAUUGUUGUCACCAGAGGAAUCAGUCGAUUGAGAAUUGUUUAAGGACUUGUUUAAAGGAAAAGUUUAUCCCUCCGGCAUUUAUCGAUGGUAGUAAACAAGAGUUUACAAAUAUGAGACAAGGAAGGUGAUGAUCGAGGGAUAUUAUAGAAAGUUUUCAGACUUGCCUCGUUCCAUCCAGAUAUUGUUGUUAAUUUGGUGGAGGUGUUAUGUUGUUUUAAGCUGGGUGGCAAAAAGGGAAGUGGUAUUUUGGGUGACCACUAUCCAUUGUAGUUCUUAUCAGGAGUAUGCUAGAUGUUGUUGAAUCUUGAGGACUCUGAGAACAUGAGCAACGAGAAUAAAGAAGAAUAAGAAAUGAAUGGGAAUUAAAAGAAGACGAUAAAGUUAAUGAUUCGUCAUAUCAAGGAUAUAGAAAGAUUUAGAGCUUCGAAAGAAGUGAAGCUAGAGUUAAUUCUUCUAGCUGAGGUUUUAAUGUCGCUGGUCAGAAUAAAAGUGAUGGAUAUACUGGUAAUCCCAGAUAUUUGAGACAAGGUGUCUCGAGUAAAGGAAAUGUACCUUGUGCUGCAGGUACAAAAAUUAACACUUUGGGAAGUGUGAAAUUAAUGAAUGUGUUUAUGUGAACAGAGGGGACACAGAAUUGUGAAUCGUCCCUAGAAUCAGUUGUACUCAAUAAUUUUCCAUGAUAUCAUAGUGUCGAUUCAGAAGAGUUAUAAACUUAGUAGUUUGGUCGGAUUGACUGUGAGUACAGAGAGAUUUGAUGAGUUAUAUGUUCAGCUGUACAGACCAUGAGAAGUGGAUUCGACUGACACAUGCGAAAUUUGUGAGUUAUAGGCUCGGCCGUACCGACCACGCGGAGUGGAUCCGGCCGACGUAUUAUUGAGAUAAGAGUUGAAUCAGUCGUAUUGAUCAUUCUAGUUGACUUCGGCUGAUAUAUUUCUUAUUAUGUAUGUUAUUACCUUGAGAGUAGUAAAUAAAUGUAGUUGAGAUGAGUGUAUGUAUUUUGCAUUGAGUGACAAAAUAGUAAUGUUAUAUCUUUGAGAGUGGUUGCCUACUUAUCGAGACAACGAUGAUUUAUCAGUAUUGCGGGCUGCAGACCGUAAUAUUAAUAACUCAUUCGUGGAUUCGUUAAGUAAGUAAACCGGUAGAUUAUUUUGUACUUAUUCAGAAUGCUUAGUAGUAAUAGAGUAUGUAUUGUGUCGGUUAAAUUAUUUCCAUUAGAUUGGUUGGUUAUAAUUGUGACAAGACGGAAUGUUAAGGGAAACCAGUACUUUCCAUCGAUCUGGAUGACCAGAGAUUACUUUUGUAAGUAUGCAAAGUGGAUUGAGUUCAGCCAUUAUUUAUGCUGUGAGAGCAAAGAGAUUGUUUUCGAAAGGCUGUCAAAAAUACUUAGCUCAUGUGGUGCUAAAUGAUGUUGUUUGGAGUAGUGUGAAUAAUGUCGAAAGAGUUAGACUUUUCUUGAUGUCUUCCUUGAAAGUAUACCUGGAUUGCCUUCAGGCAGAGAUAUGAGGUUCAUUAUUGAUUUGUUGCCAGGUAUAAAUUUAUAUUGGAGAUUGGUUCAGGAUGAGUUAAGGGAAUUGGAAAUUCAGUUGAGAGAAUUGGUUGAUAAAAGUUUUAUUCAACCUAGUACAACACUUUUGAGGAGCCCAGUUUGUUGGUGAGGAAGAAAAAUGGAUCUUGAGACUGUUCAUUGAUUAUAGACAAUGGAGUCGGGUAACGAUUGAGAACCGUUAUCCAUGGUGAUGUACUGAUGUUUAUUUAACCAGCUCAGAAGUAAUUGCGAAGAUUCAAAGAUUGAAUUGAGAUCUGGUUACUACCAAUUGAAUAUUAUAAGUGACGUUGAUCAUAAGAUGGUUUCUGGACUUGUUAUGGUCCUUAUAAAGUUUGGUGAUGCUAUGUGGAUACUCAUGCGGUUUUAUGAGUUAUUGGAUGAAGUAUUCCAAUAAUGCCUUGAUAAAUAGAUAUCAUUUUCAUUGAAGAUAUUCUGGUAUACUCUAAGCCUAGAGCAGAGCAUGUAAACGUAUUAAGUCGGUGAAGCAAAGAUUAAGAGAACGUUGGUUGUAUGCUAAGAUUAGCAAAUGCGAAUGUUGGAUGAAUCAAGUGGCAUUCUGAGAUUGGUUAUAUCUGCUUAAGGUAUUCAAAUGAAUUCUUAAUGGCAGCAGAAUUGAGAAAUUGGAACAACCACGAGUCGUAAUUGAGAUUUGGAAUUUCUUAGCUUACCAGGCUAUCUUGGAUGGUUGUGAAAGAUUUUUCAGUCAUUGCUUUGUCAUUGACGAGACUGUUGAGAAAAGAGGUUAGGUAUGAGUGGGAAGGAAUUGUAAGCAAAGGAUUCAACAACUGAAGUAUUUCCUCCCUCAUGCACGUAUUUUGGUAUUCCCAGAGAAUAGUGGUAAUCAUAAAUUUUUAGUGAUGUUUCUUGAAUGGUAUUGGAGGCAUGUUGAUGCAAAUGUUAGGGUGAUUGCAUACGUUUCACGAUAAAUGGAACCUCAUGAGAUGAAUUACCCUACGGGUGACUUGGAAGUCAUGAUUACCAUUCUUGCUGUGAAGUUAUGAAGGCAUUAUAUUUGGUAAGAAUGCAAGAUUUUUACGAAUCCAAAAAGUCUUCAAUAUCCAUUACUUGGAAGGAUUUUGAUAUGAGGCAGCGAAAGUGAAUUGUAUUGCUUAAUGAACAUGAUUGUACGAUCAGGGUGAUCGUAAAGUUUGUUCUAGCUCAAGCACUUGGCGAGAAGACUACAGUAAGAUUAAUAUCUGGCACGUUUGCCAAGAGUAUCAUUUUGUGGAUUGAAAACCAACGGAAGAAAAAUUAAGAAUGGAAGAUCGAGAAGAAGUUAUACUUGUUAAGUAACAAGUUAGUACAUUUACCCCAGUGUUGAGUAACAACCUUUCCCAGACAGUGCAACACUACUUAUUUGUUUUAUGGAAAAGAGAAUUGGAUUACGGAACUGCUAAGUUUCUUAAGUAUGUUGGUUGUGCAGUUUCCGAAGUAACGCCAUAAGGACCAUGAAAUGUGUCACGUGAGUCGGUUUUUGAUGACUUGUGAAUGGAAUGUUUCUGGGUAGAGAAAGAUUCGAUCGAGAAAGAGUUUUAGUAGACCCUGAGACUAUGGAUGAGUCUCCUCAAAGUAUUCAGGUGAUUAAGUUAACCUGAAGUAACCAGGAAUGGCAAAAGAGAUCAACAGAUGGAUAUGCCACUAAUCGAGUGUGUAAGGUAAAUGGUUUGAUAUUUUUGGAAAAUUCACCACGAACAGAAAUGAAGAGAAUUGGAAAAGAGACAAGAUAAGAUUUAAACACAUCAGACCGUUUUGAUCAUUAAAAGAAUCAAUGAAGUUGCAUAUAAGUUUGUGAUGCCUUCAAAAUUGGCUAAGGUGCAUAAUGCAUUAUAUUUCGAUGCGUUGUCACUAGGUGGCAGAUUCGUCACAUGGGAUUCUGGUGCAACUAUUUAGAAUUCAAUUGGAUUCGACUUGAUAAGGAACCAAGGACUACUUUGGAUUGGGAAAAGAAGGUCCUGAGAAUUAAGACAGAGUAAGUGGUAAAAGCUUUGUGAAGAAAAUCAUUCAGUAGAAAAUUAUGUGGGAGAAAGAGAAACGGAUGAGAGAGAUUUACCCGAAGCUAUUGUUGGAGUAUGGUUGAUUUAGUUGAUUGCUGGAAUUUCGGGGACGAAAUUCUAUAAGGAGGGAAGAUUGUCACAGCCCGUCCUGGAAUUUUAAUUCCGAGGACGUGAAAUGACCAAUGUGACCUUAAACGGGAUUAAGGUGUGUAAAUGUAUGACAUUUGUUUUACUUUAAGAUCCUAAACUAGGGUUAGAUUUAUAUUUGUAUGUGUUAAUUUGUGCUUGGACUUAGGUAGGGCCUCCUACCCUGAAUUCCCUCCCUAAAACCCGUAACCUUUCUUCUCUCUCUUCUUCUUUCAUUCCAGACUCUCUCUCUCUCUCUUAUUCUUUUCUGAAAACUCUCUCAUUCUCUCUCUCUUACUCUCGAACUCACGGCAACCACCAAGAACCACCACAAUCUUGUACCAACGUUCCAUUUAAGACCACCAUCGUGAUCCUGGGGACUUCACGAGCACGGGGAUACCAAUUUCAGGUGAGUUUCACUUCGAAAACCCUAGUUCUAAAGUUGCCGUGAGAUGACACUGUUCAUGAGCUUUGAAUUGGUUACGUUUUAGGCUAAAACAAGAUCACAGCGAGUUUAGUAAGGUCCCAAGGAAGCUCGGAGUGCUUCGUUGGAAGUUUUUGGACGUAAGAACACGGAGAUCGACAAGUUCAAAGUUUGGCCGGAGCUUUCGAGGCGUUUUCCGGCGAAUCCCCGGCGAGUUAGGAGUCGAGGUAGGUAUCAAUCUCUUCGUCUUGUCAAGUACUACAACUUUCGUUUUUGAAUCACUUGAUUUCGUUGAGAAAUGACAAAGUUAUGGCAAUUUGAAAAACUGCCCGGAAAACGGCCGCCGGAAAAACCAGUCCGGCGACCCAAGGAAGAAGAAGGUGCUACAGUAAAAAUAAAAUAAAAAUAAAAUUAUUUUAAAAAUAUGUCGACGUCCGUGACGUCGAGUAGAUCACUGUGGUAUAUUCAUAUACCUAAAUUGAACACCGUAUGAGAAAGUUAUUGAAGAUUGUUGGUUAGGUGUUCAAAUAACGUUUUAUAGUUUUCACAUUUAGGUGAAAAUGUGAAUUGAUGAUCCGACCGUUGGAUCGUCACCAAACUUUGAUACGUUGUAAUACGUAAUAUUUGAGGAUUAUUGGAACUUACGGAUUGGGAAUCCGAGUUACGGAUCUUCCGGAAUUGGAAUUGUAAGUCCAUAAUAUAAAAUGUUAACCGUCACUUAGUUUUGGAAAUUGACGGAGAUCCGACCGUUGGAUGGUAAUGAAAUUUUAGGAUGUUGUCCUAGAGGUAUAAUGUGGACCUCUGGAAGUUAUGGAUUUAAAAUCUGAGUGACAGAUCUUCCGGAUCGAUCAACGUAGUGACGUAUUUUAUAUAAGUUAAGUAUUCUAUCGAUAUGAAUUCUGAGCCUGGAUUUGAUUACUAUUCUAGGCGGCGAUCGUCAUGACGCCUUGAUGUGUGGUGCUAGGGAGUUGUUGGACGAACUCCAGGUGAGUGGGCAGUUUUGUUUUCCGUAUAUAUAUAUACUUGACGUUUCCCAGAAAUUGAAUUGAAAUGAAAAUAUGUUUAAAAUGAAAUGCAUAUGAGUUAUGUGGAAAAACGGGAAGUGAAAUACCAUGCAUAGAAUUGAUAUGAAAAGUAUAUAGAAAUGUGAGUUGAAAUGCCAUGCAUGAAUUAAUAUAUGAUGCAUAUGUAUGAAUUGGUGCGGUGGACGCACAUGUAAGAAUUGAUUUAUGAUGCAUAUGUAUGAAUUGGUGCGGUGGACGCACAGGUAAGAAUUGAUUUAUGAUGCAUAUGUAUGAAUUGGUGCGGUGGACGCACAGGUAAGAAUUGAUUUUAUGAUGCAUAUGUAUGAAAUGGUGCGGUGGACGCACAGAUGAGUAUUUAAUUACUGUUAUGAUGAUGAUGAUAUAUAUUGAGCUCAAAUCCUGCACCAUGGUUUAGUGCUUAUAGUAUUCACCGCAUCGCACGCUCGCCUUGGAUCCAAGUAGAUGCUAGUCGUACAGUCCACGCGGAGUGGGUACGACAGACCAGUCGCGAGAGUGUUAGUGAGAUUCCGACUGGUGGGUGACCUUAGAUUAUGUGCACAG